GGAAGCUCCUUAUACUUACGUAAAAAUGAAAAGAAAAGAAAAAAAUCGUGUAAGCGUUGACAUGGUGAUGAGUUUUCCUCGAGGCGACUGUGAGUUUAUUUAACUUUAUGGAAGCAGUCUCCGGUGUCAGCGCUUUGUAACAGUCAAAGUUACAAAAGCUGCGUUUUUUUUUUUUGUUGUUGUUGUUUUGUUUUGUUUUUGUUUUAACGACUUAAAGAGAGGGAACGGCUGUGUGUAGCUGCUAUAACUUGUCUCGUGGGUGUUUCACGAUAUUAAACGUAACUAUAAACGGAUAAAGAGUACAUGCCGUUCCUUAACGAACUACAGGACGAUACGGAAUCGUUAGCAAACUGCUGUGGUAUAAGAGGAAUAGAAUAAAACACUUCAGGAUGUGCGGUGAUGGGAAAAUAAUCAUCGGCGUCCGUGUCGCGUGGUAGGCGUUACGCCACUUCAUCGCGAUGCCGUGUCGUUUAUGAUUUUCCCAACAGAGCGUGCUUCGAAGUGUCUUAUCCCUUAAUUCUUCUUCGGUCGAACUUUUUAAUGACGCUGGUGUGAACCUUUUGGAAAGAAUGAUAAGUUGCUAAUGCGUCUGUGAUGCUGCUUUCGCGUUGCUGUUAUAAGCGGAGGCAAGUCAGCAGAGCCUGGAUAGCUUGAACAGUUUCGAUGAUCUGACACCUGUAGCCUUAUUGCUUCCUGUUUCUUCAGUGCUUCGAACACUCGUUCUCACUUUGAGGUGUUUUUCUUUCUUUCUUUCUUCUAUCUUCGUCAUGGUGCAUGGUGAUCACUGUAAGCAUUGUGUGCUUUCUGAGCUUUUCACAUUUUCUCACCUUAACUAUGUGGAUUAUGGGUAAAAACUGUGAAUGAUCUCGAGGCCGUGAGUCGUAGCACUGAUCGAACACACACAUUCCUCUUUACAUAAACUUGUUGUUUUGUUUUUUGUUUUUGUUGUUGUUGUUUUUUUUGUGUGAAUUUUAUUUUUCGAACACAAGUAUUGAAAGUCAGUAAACGAAAUGACCAGUUGUAUGUGUUUUCAUUGAAUUUAUUUGCUUGAAUCUUUUUCUGUCCAAGUCUUUUUGUUUUGUAUUUUUUAUUUCGAUUUUUUUUUUCUUUUUGUGCACUGUAGCGUUUUUAAAUGGAAAAUGUCGAUUACUUGUAGAAAGAAAAAAAAAAAGAAAAAAAAAAACGAGUCUGGAGAUUUGUUACAUAUCAUGGCUUUACAGUCUGGAUUAUGUUUAAAAAAUAAAUAAAUAAAUAAAUAAAAGAACAAAAAAGGACCCAAAGAAAGAGGUGAAGGACGCAUCGACGUAAAGACUAUGUUUACAGCCACAAGCACACGAGUGUUCAUUUAUUAAAUCUACUCUUUGGGAUCAGUGGAACGUACUUGAAGUUAAAUCAGUGGCACUCAGAGUCUAGCUUGUUAUUACAUUCACGUGUAAUGGGUUGAUAUUUUAACAUUACUGUAAAUAUAUAUAUUUUUGUGAACGAAGUGUUUUGUUUUUUUAUUACUGUGGGCCUUACGAUCAGCAAAAACGAGUGUAUUUUUAUGUAUAUAUGUAUACAUAGCGACUAUAUGUAUGAAUGAAAUGCAGUAUAUUUUGGUACAGAAGUUAAACCGGGUUUAUCUUUUUUUUUUUUUUCCUGUGUGUGCUUAAACUUUUGGGCCUUCUCAGGUAUUGUGUUGCCAAGAUGCCUAUAAAAGAUAGCAUCUUAAUGAGCUGAUACAGUAGAAAGUGAUUUUUGAGGAGAAAAAGGAGGGUUUUUUUUUUUUUUUACGGAAAUAACAGAAACAUGGUGUUAAAUGUUUGACCCUCUGAAGGAACAGCUGUAAGGUGUUGGAUUUUAAAGGAUGGACUGUUUUGUUUUGUUUUUUGCAUUAAAUACCUUUAAACUCUCAGUGUGUCGUGGUGUCUGUGUGUAAUUUUCUCUUCUCUUCUCUUCUCUCUUUCCUCUCGUUUAAACGUGUUUCAACAUGACAGAGAUCAGUUACUAUUGUUUGUGGGAUGAUUUGUGUGGGUGGAUGGGUGUGAAUGUAGCCCGACCUAUCUAUCUAUCUAUCUAUCUAUCUAUCUAUUUAUAAGAUAUUUGGCCUAAGAAAUACUACACGACAUAAACAAUACUGUACAAACCAGUCAAUUGAUUGGUUGAUUGAAUCAUUCAUCGAUUGAAUCAUUCACGCAGUCGUUGAUUUGUUGAUUCAUUGAUUCAUUGACUGACGUGCAGGGAGAGUGUAAGUUAGAGUGGGGCGUGCUGUCACACUUUCCACAUUUUCGUGCAUUUCAUUUCUGUUCCAUAAUAGAAAUGAAUAAAGAUGGUAUCAAAUACCAGAAUGAAGUCUCAGGAAAAUAUUUUGUAUUUAUUAUAUCUUCAUAUCUUGUUUCAGAGAGGAGUUUUAGACAGUUAAGUAGAGGGUGUGCACUUGUGACAGUGUGCCCCAUUAGAAGAAGUGUGUGUGUGUGUGUGUGUGUGUGUGUGUGUGUGUGUGAUAUACGCAUCCGCCGAGUGUUAAUAUAACCACACAGGUACACCCAAGCUUAGUAAAUAGAUGUUAGAUAAAAAUAUACAGCAUAUAUUAUAUGUAUGGAAUAACACACAACCGUCGGUACUGUUGUACAAAAAUACUACCACAACCACUGCUUAGAUAUUCCACUUAUACCACAGCAAUUUACAACAAUUACAAUGUUUCAUUCAUUACUGAAUGACUCAUCUUACAUUUUAAAGGGUUAAAGUUAGAUCUAAUGUUGUGGAGCGUCCAGAAGACGUGUGACCUUCUGACCAAUCAGAUUAGAGAACGAAUCUAUUUAUAUACCGGGGCAUGUUAGCACGCAGACAUGUGUCAACUUGCCCCAAUCUGACAUGUGUACUAACGGAGGUUACAUCUCAAGGCUAACAUAUACAGGAUUUCAGCUGACGUAUCAGAAGAUUCACCGUAAGAAUACAAUUCUGAGCAUUCAUUCAUUCAUACACGCAGUUUUAUUACAUAAAAGUUUAAAUGACUUUCUUUUUUUUUUCUUCUUGAAAGACAAAAGUAACCACAAGCGAGCAGG
ensembl:lncRNA